rnacentral:rRNA from 1 species
UACGUAGGGGGCAAGCGUUGUUCGGAAUUACUGGGCGUAAAGGGCUCGUAGGCGGCCAACUAAGUCAGACGUGAAAUCCCCAGGCUUAACCUGGGAACUGCGUCUGAUACUGGAUGGCUUGAAUUCGGGAGAGGGAUGCAGAAUUCCAGGUGUAGCGGUGAAAUGCGUAGAUAUCUGGAGGAAUACCGGUGGCGAAGGCGGCAUCCUGGACCGAGAUUGACGCUGAUGAGCGAAAGCUAGGGGAGCAAACGGG